CUACGGGAUGCUGCAGUCGGGAAUCUUUUGCAAUGCGCGAAAGCGUGACAAAGCGAGCCAGAGUGCUUUUCCGUAUAGGAAAAGCUUUUGCCUAAUUUAAAAAAUUAGGCGAAUAAGGACUGGGCAAGACCGGUGCCAGCCGCCGCGGUAAUCCCGGCAGUUCAAGUCGUAACCACAUUUAUUGGGUCUAAAACAUUCGUAGCUUGUUGUAUAAGUCUUCUGUGAAAUCCUGUCUCUCAAGGGCAGGGCAUGCAGGAGAUACUGUAUAACUAGAGACCGGAGGAUGUGAGGAGUACAGUAGAGGUAAUGGUAAAAUAUGUUAAUCUUUGCUGGACUAACAAUAGCGAAGGCACCUCACAAAUACGGAUCUGACAGUGAGGGAUGAAGGCUAGGGUCGCAAAACGGAUUAGAUACCCUGGUAGUC
rnacentral:rRNA from 1 species